GGGCCGUUAGCUCAGUGGUAGAGCAUCGGACUUUUAAUCCGUUGGUCGAUGGUUCGAGUCCAUCACGGCCCA
rnacentral:tRNA from 1 species